rnacentral:rRNA from 1 species
AGAGUUUGAUCCUGGCUCAGGAUGAACGCCGGCGGCGUGCCUAACACAUGCAAGUCGAACGGUCUCUUCGGAGAUAGUGGCGGACGGGUGAGUAACGCGUGAGAAUCUGCCUUUAGGUUCGGGACAACAGUUGGAAACGACUGCUAAUACCGAAUGUGUCGCAAGAUGAAAGAUUUAUUGCCUAAAGAUGAGCUCGCGUCCGAUUAGCUAGUUGGUGUGGUAAAGGCGCACCAAGGCGACGAUCGGUAGCUGGUCUGAGAGGAUGAUCAGCCACACUGGGACUGAGACACGGCCCAGACUCCUACGGGAGGCAGCAGUGGGGAAUUUUCCGCAAUGGGCGAAAGCCUGACGGAGCAACGCCGCGUGAGGGAGGAAGGCUCUUGGGUUGUAAACCUCUUUUAUCAAGGAAGAUAAUGACGGUACUUGAUGAAUCAGCAUCGGCUAACUCCGUGCCAGCAGCCGCGGUAAUACGGAGGAUGCAAGCGUUAUCCGGAAUAAUUGGGCGUAAAGCGUUCGUAGGUGGUUCUGUAAGUCUGCUGUUAAAGCGCGUAGCUCAACUACAUAUAGGCAGUGGAAACUACAAAACUUGAGUGCGUUCGGGGUAGAGGGAAUUCCUGGUGUAGCGGUGAAAUGCGUAGAGAUCAGGAAGAACACCGGUGGCGAAGGCGCUCUACUAGACCGCAACUGACACUGAGGGACGAAAGCUAGGGGAGCGAAUGGGAUUAGAUACCCCAGUAGUCCUAGCUGUAAACGAUGGAUACUAGGCGUUGUCUGUAUCGACCCGGACAGUGCCGUAGCUAACGCGUUAAGUAUCCCGCCUGGGGAGUACGCACGCAAGUGUGAAACUCAAAGGAAUUGACGGGGGCCCGCACAAGCGGUGGAGUAUGUGGUUUAAUUCGAUGCAACGCGAAGAACCUUACCAAGGCUUGACAUGUCCGGAAGUUCUGGGAAACUAGAAUGUGCCUUCGGGAACCGGAAUACAGGUGGUGCAUGGCUGUCGUCAGCUCGUGUCGUGAGAUGUUGGGUUAAGUCCCGCAACGAGCGCAACCCUCGUCCUUAGUUGCCAGCACUUCGGGUGGGCACUUUAGGGAGACUGCCGGUGACAAACCGGAGGAAGGUGGGGAUGACGUCAAGUCAUCAUGCCCCUUACGUCUUGGGCUACACACGUACUACAAUGCUAUGGACAAAGAGCAGCAACUAGCGAUAGUGCGCUAAUCUCAUAAACCAUGGCUCAGUUCAGAUCGCAGGCUGCAACUCGCCUGUGUGAAGUAGGAAUCGCUAGUAAUUGCAGGUCAGCAUACUGCAGUGAAUUCGUUCCCGGGCCUUGUACACACCGCCCGUCACACCAUGGAAGUUGGUCACGCCCGAAGUCGUUACCCUAACCGAAAGGAGGGGGACGCCGAAGGUAGGACUGAUGACUGGGGUGAAGUCGUAACAAGGUAACC